rnacentral:rRNA from 1 species
ACUCCUACGGGAGGCAGCAGUGGGGAAUCUUGGACAAUGGGCGCAAGCCUGAUCCAGCCAUGCCGCGUGAGUGAUGAAGGCCCUAGGGUCGUAAAGCUCUUUCGCCUGUGAUGAUAAUGACAGUAGCAGGUAAAGAAACCCCGGCUAACUCCGUGCCAGCAGCCGCGGUAAUACGGGAGGGGGUUAGCGUUGUUCGGAAUUACUGGGGCGUAAAGCGCGCGUAGGCGGACUAUUAAGUCAGAGGUGAAAUCCCGGGGCUCAACCCCGGAACUGCCUUUGAUACUGGUAGUCUAGAGUUCGAGAGAGGUGAGUGGAAUUCCGAGUGUAGAGGUGAAAUUCGUAGAUAUUCGGAGGAACACCAGUGGCGAAGGCGGCUCACUGGCUCGAUACUGACGCUGAGGUGCGAAAGUGUGGGGAGCAAACAGGAUUAGAUACCCUGGUAGGAUAGCG